rnacentral:rRNA from 1 species
CCUACGGGAGGCUGCAGUGGGGAAUAUUGCGCAAUGGGCGAAAGCCUGACGCAGCGACGCCGCGUGAGGGAUGAAGGUCUUCGGAUCGUAAACCUCUGUCAGCAGGGAAGAACGGUCACUGUGCUAAUCAGCAGUGAAUUGACGGUACCUGCAAAGGAAGCACCGGCUAACUCCGUGCCAGCAGCCGCGGUAAUACGGAGGGUGCGAGCGUUAAUCGGAAUUACUGGGCGUAAGGCGCUCGUAGGCGGUAUGUCAAGUCAAGGGUGAAGUCCCCGCGCUCAACGUGGGAACUGCCUUUGAAACUGGCAAACUGGAGUGUGUGAGAGGAUAGUGGAAUUCCAGGUGUAGGAGUGAAAUCCGUAGAUAUCUGGAGGAACAUCAGUGGCGAAGGCGACUAUCUGGCACAUAACUGACGCUGAGGAGCGAAAGCGUGGGUAGCAAACAGGAUUAGAUACCCUGGUAGUC